AAGGCGUGUCUAUGAAUUUGAGUAGUCAGAUAAUAGGUCAUGAGUACAAAAAGGGCAAGGUAAGAAAAGGAAAGGGGGGAAAAUCAUUAUAACUAAUUUAGGCACAGAUACACAAUAUGUAUCAUAUGAUUCAGCAACUAAAAUCACUUGUCCCAUCAAGUGAAUUUAAUUCCUCUUUUUACAGCCUGUUUGAAGUGCAACAUUUGCUACUUAGCAAAGCUGGCCUGAUGGGAGGCUGGGCAAUACCUAGGCUUAGUGAGACCAUUUAAAAAGGACAAGGACUCAGGGCUCCAACUUGUGAUUUGUGAGAAAAGCAUAUAGCCAUGAGUCCAUGGUUGGACAACACAUAAGCCAAGUGUUGGCUUAGCUCAAUGCAGCACAACAGUAGGAAAGGCAAGAGAGGAGCAAAGCAGCUGAAAGUUUCCCUCUGGAGCCUGAGAAUGCUUAUUAAGCCAAGUUUUGCAAACCAGACCACAGGUUCUGUAAUCACCAAGCGAUUAGAAAAUGGGCACAUUUUAUGAAGGCCAUGUUCUGAUAAUCCUAUCUUGAUUUAUAAAGCUGAGGUAUGAAUGAGCCUUCUGCCUGCAUAGCAUAUGCAGGUCCUUUGCUCUUCCCUUCAUGGAUAAGCAACCAAACCAGGAAGAUUCUAAUUAUAGUUUCCAAUUUUGUCUUAAUUUACACCCAUUCAAUCAGCAUGAGCUGUCAACCAAGGACAUUUGUUAUAAACCGUAGAGUCCCAUAUCAUUCAAACUGGGAAACUAUGGUUAUCUGCUUUGGAAGAAGCCUAGGUAAUUAAAACAAUGGUUUGAAGUUGAUUCAAUAUCCUGACUUGCUUCAUGGCUGGUAACUGAAGUUCCCAAUUUUGAAUAAUACGGAGAACUAUGGUUAAUCAUAUGGUUCGACUGCUCAUGCCAUGAAGGGUCUGAGUAGUUGGACAAAACAUUUGUUUCUAUCUUGAUUUAUUAAACUGAGAUAUGAUCAUCCAAUGCACACCCUCCAGGUAGCGGCUGAUUAUAUUAAUUAUAAAUGUGUGAGAGUUGUGCCUGUUUAUUGAAAAUAACAAUGUAAUGCUCAUAGCGCAAUUUAAUUUUCAUGUAGCCAAUUUUCAGCAGCCUUGUUUGAGGGAAAGGAACCGCGUGUAGUAAAUCUUGAUGCCUGCCAUAUGAUUAACAUCCCAAUUUUUGUGAUUAAUGUUUGCUCUGCCAUUGUGAGUUGCUUUCUCUUCCCCUCCAGUGUUCUGUGCGCUGUUUUUCUGCUUCCUUGCUCAGGUACUUCUGUACCAGCAACAGAUGGCAAAUAUCCCUUGGACAGGAAUAAAGGUGUCGCAGCCAUUUGAAAUGUGACACAUGAAAUGUAACUAGGUAUUUUUUUUCCCCUGUCAGUAACACAGCAGAAGAAAACCUGCUUGUUUUAUGAGCCUGAGGAAACUGGCAGCCAGAACCUCAGAGUAAUCAGUCUUUUUAAAGUUAUCACAGCAACAAUAGUGAAAUUUCAAUGUUGGUAACAUAGUAAUAUAAAUAUUGGACGGUCCCCUUUGGGCAAAUUAUGGCAUAUAUUUUAAAAUUACGCCUCUUGGCUUGUUUGCUUUGUCUUUGCCAGAUUAUUAUGAUUAUUAUUGUUAUCUUAGUGAAUAGGAGAAGCAGGGCCUUUUUCAGCCAGAACUCAGUUCCACCACCUCUCAAGUGGGUGCCAUUGCCAUUAUAAGAGAACAAAGGAGGCGUUCAUGGUGAGUUCCAGCACCUCUUUUCCUAGAAAAAUAGCACUCAGGAGAAGAAUCGUGGAUGUUAAUCAGUGUAAUCCUAUAUGCAGGUUUACUCAGAAGUAUGCCCCAAUGAGUUCAAUGGGGCUUAAUUCCAGGUGAGGGGUAUAGGAUGGCAGCUGAAAAUUAAUUAAUUGGUAUUUUCUUACAGUCUUCCUGUGCUGCAGUCUACUUAAAUGUUGGCUCUGACUGACCACAUGCAAGUGUUGAAUUAGAGAACCUCCAGUGUCUUUUGCCUUCAAUACUUGUUAAGCAGGAGAAGAAAGAACUUGAUGGUGCUCCAAGGCUAGGUUAAUAAGUUACUGAAGUUGUGUAGUUACCACAUUCCUAAAGAAUGCAGUUGUUAUAUUAUUUAGUACUUUUUUGUAUUGCGCCUUUCCUCCAAGAAGAUCUAGAGAGGAUAUUAGAAAAUGAGCUGAAAGAAAACAAUGGCAAACAUGAGUUGCCUCUCUCUGUGUGUAUUUAUCAUGUUCAUAAUUUUGAGUACAUGAUUUGGACACUUAUCCCCAAGACUUUAGGUGAAAUGCUAGUGUCACUGAAGUCUAGGUACAGAUCCAGUGUCCCUUGAAAACCUGCCUUUCCCAUCAUAUAAUACUGCAUUCAGACCAUUCGUAUAAUUGACAGGGGGGCAGGUAAGCCCCACCCCACAUAUUCAAUCACAUGAUGCAGUGUACGAACACCAUUGGAAUGGCAAUGCCCAUCAACUUUGAGGGGGGCAGCCCCUCAAAUAUUUAAUGGGAGGGGAGCGAAGCGAAGGGACACACAUUCAUAUGACUCAGAUUGAAGCACUGCUGUCAGAAACAGUAACCACGACUUAGUUCUUCAUAUUCACCUAACCACAGAAGUUCAAUUUAAAGAUAGCUACAGGACAAUUAAUAGUGUGAUUUUGUGAAUGUGUUUCAGAAGAUCUGAGAUAUGUUGUCUUCUGAAAAGAAUCCCUAAGGAAAUGAACAUUUUUCGAGCGUAUUUGUGCACCAGCUUUCCUUAAACACAAAUCACAGAGUUACUUUAUGUAGUUAAAGAAUUUUUUCAAGGAGUAUGUCAGGAAGCCGAUGAAUGCAUAGGAAAUUAUCUAUCCAUUUUGCUAUGAAUCAGAGAUUCACUGCGCUUCCUUUCUGUGCAAACUGCAUCCAAAUCCUUCUAAAGUUAGAGAAAUAUACACAUAUGGAUAAUCAGAUCUAAACCCAAUACUGUUCUUUUGUCCACUUUAAUUGGAUUUUCUGCAAAGGAUAUUUAACAAGAUGAAAUGCAUUUCAGAAUUACUAAAGAAAAUAAAGAGGAACCAGGAGAUAUUGAAUGCUCUUAUUGAUCUUGCCAAAAAGGAAAGCAUCAGAUGUUGCUGUUUCAUUUUUAUGUUUAUCGUUUUCCCUAUUUUGUAUUAAGGAGUUCUGGGAAACCUUAUUAAAUGUUAAGUGCUGUUUGGUACUGCCUAGCCACCCAAGUGAGAGAAUUUUAGUCACAAUUCCCUUAAGCAGAGUGAAAAGGCACAUAGUUCUGAUUUUGUAAUAUGUCAUGUCAGGUAUUAGGUAAAGGUACCCCCAGACCGUUAGGUCCAGUCACAGAUGACUCUGGGGUUGUGCGGUCAUGUCGCUCUAUAGGCCGAGGGAGCCGGCGUUUGUCCGCAGCUUCUGGGUCAUGUGGCCAGCAUGACUAAGCCGCUUCUGGCGAAACCAGAGCAGUGCACGGAAACGCUGAUUACCUUCCUGCCGGAGCGGUACAUAUUUAUCUACUUGCACUUUUUGGCAUGCUUUUGAACUGCUAGGUUGGCAGGAGCUGGGACCGAACAACAGGAGCUCACCCCGUCGCGGGGAUUCAAACCACCGACCUUCCGAUCGGCAAGCCGUAGGCUCUGUGGUUUAGACCACAGUGUCUCCCGCGUCCCCUAUGUCAGUUAUUACUUGGCUCUUAAUGUCUCUUCAUGCAGGAAAGUCACAGUUCUUAAUGAGUAUGUAUUUUGCAGUUUGAAAUUGUUCUGUUUUAAAAAAUGCCACUUAUUCCUAAAUAUUCCAAAAGCAAGGGUUUUAUAUUCUUCGUUUCCAACUGUAUUCUUUGGCAACACUAGGUGCAGUAAAAUGCUUCUUCUUUACAAGUGCUGUACCAAAAAGUUGCUUCAACCCAUUUUUUAAAACAUUUGCCAUCAGUUGAUGAAAAAAGAUGCUGCAUUCAAAAGCACAUUAAACAAUUCUUUGAAAUUCUUGUAGGUAAAAGGUUUUGUGCUUACCUUACUUUUAAGGUAGCUAAGGAGUGUUUACAAGUGUCGUUUCUUUCAUUCUACCAUUCUAUCAUCUUUCUGGUGGUCUACAGUGUACAGCCUUCCUGGGUGAGUGCCUUUACUGAACUCCUCACGACAUUCUCAGCUGGACUUUUCUGUAAGCACAAGAAGACAGAGUGACUGCUUACUGUGCAGCAGUCAGCUGUUGUUGAUUUUCAAGUGAAGAUUUUUCAUUUUAAAAUAAAUCAGUUUGUUUCUUAGUUUGUUUUUAAGCAAUAGGAAAGGCAAACCCAAAUUGGCAAGCCCACAAUCCCAGGCAUGCGAGGAAUGGCAAACCCUCCAGGUUUUCCAGACUUCAGUCAGGAAGCCCAGGAAGUCCAGGCAGCUGUGGAGGCUGCAGAGUGCUGGGAAAAUGUUUAAUGGAAUGAAACCUCACAUCUGUAAAGUAAGCUUAAUCCCAAGUAUUGUGAAGAAAAGCCAUAGUGUUCUGGGAAUGAGUGUAUAAAAACAAGAAAUUACAUUCUUAGACCAAGAAAAUGUGGCUGUCUGUUAUAUAGGAUACUUAAGCAUGAUGGGUGAGGGCAUUAAAUCCAUAGAAAUAACAGCUGCCACCCUCUCCUCACUCCUCAAGUCUUGACUGGUGCUGUGAAACCUGUAUAAUAGAUUUAAGAAACAGAGACUCAUUCCUUCUCCAUCCAAUCAGAUUUCAUCAAUGCAUGCUAGUUCAACUGGGUUUUGGACAAAGAUGCCAGCUGUAUAAUAAUUUUUCUCCGGAGGCAUAAAUUUGAUGUCUGACAAGUGAGACUUGCAAAAUAAUGUUACAGUUCAAAGUGCUCUCUAUUCAGGAUCCCAGCUACUUCACUCAAAACUCCCUCUUCUUGUUUUACGUUUUCUCCCUCUCAACUAUAGGGCAGCAUUUUGAUGCCCACUAAACAGUUCUAGGGAUGCGGGAGAAAUUCAGUACAAUAUGAAUUGAAGGCAAACUUACCUAAUUCAUUCUUCCCCAAACAAUAUUCAAACAAAAACACUGUCAUCUUUUGAAAGUAACACUUAUUUGAAUUUUGUUGUACAAUUAUCUAGCCAAGUAAUUUGCACAAAAAUGCAUACACUGGGGUAAAGGGUGCAAAAAAAAUGCAUGUUGGUGAAAAUAACAUACAAACAUCCAUUAUAUUUUUUAAAUAACAUGCAAAGAUGCUUUGCAAAAAUGUAGCUAUUAGGUACAUUGGGUACAUUAGGAGAAAAUUGCAGUAGUAUGUGGAUAAAAACGAAAUGCAAACUGUUGUGGCAGUGUGGAAAACUGAAAGACUGG